CCUACGGGGGGCUGCAGUGGGGAAUAUUGGACAAUGGGGGGAACCCUGAUCCAGCCAUGCCGCGUGUGUGAAGAAGGCCCUCGGGUUGUAAAGCACUUUCAGUGAGGAAGAACGCCUGGUGGUUAAUACCCAUCAGGAAAGACAUCACUCACAGAAGAAGCACCGGCUAACUCCGUGCCAGCAGCCGCGGUAAUACGGAGGGUGCGAGCGUUAAUCGGAAUUACUGGGCGUAAAGCGCGCGUAGGUGGCUUGAUAAGCCGGUUGUGAAAGCCCCGGGCUCAACCUGGGAACGGCAUCCGGAACUGUCAAGCUAGAGUGCAGGAGAGGAAGGUAGAAUUCCCGGUGUAGCGGUGAAAUGCGUAGAGAUCGGGAGGAAUACCAGUGGCGAAGGCGGCCUUCGGGACUGACACUGACACUGAGGUGCGAAAGCGUGGGUAGCAAACAGGAUUAGAUACCCCAGUAGUC
rnacentral:rRNA from 1 species